rnacentral:lncRNA from 1 species
AAAUCAGAUGAGCACUCAUAGUAGCUGGUUCUAACUUCACAAUGUUGAAAGAGGCACUGAAGAGAUAGAAAAAACACUGAAAUGCCUAUGCCACCCUGCCCCCACCCCCACCCUCCUGCAGUGGCAGCGUGGGACAGAGAGCAUCUCUGCACCCUGGAGAAGAGAGAACACAGUAAUUGUGAGGCAGUGAACUCAGUGCUGUCCUGGUAGAUCAGAAAGGAAAUCUGGACCAAACUCAGCUAAUGCCCAUCCACAGAGGGAGGAUUUAAACCAGCCCUAACCAGAGGGAAAUUACUUAUCCCAGCUACCUGAACUUGAGUUCCUGAAAACCUCCCCUCCAAAGGCUACAGUGCUCUGUGUCUCCAAGUAAACUUAAAAGGCAGUCUGGGCCAUAAGAACUGCAACCCUUAGGUGAGUCCUAGUGCUGAACUAGGCCCAGAGACAGUGGACUAGGGGACACGUCACAUACUGAGAUAUAAGCUGGGGCCACCAAAGGAAUGCUGGCAUUAUCCCUUCCCUAACCCCAGGCUGCACAGCUUGUGGCUCUAAAAGAGACCCCUUUCUUCCUCUAGAGAAGAGGACAGGGAAGAACUUUGUCUUGCAUAUUGGAUACCAGCUCAACCACAGCAGGAUAAGACACCAGUCGGGGUCAUGAGGAAGCAGUUCCAGGCCCUAGCUCCCAGGUGCCAUUUCUAGACUCAUGUGCUGCCUUAAAGGAAAGGAGUCAGUCUUGACAGCAUUCAACAGCUGCUAACUGAAGAACCCUUGGACCCUCAACGACCAGCCUGGAUACCCAGAUACUAUGUCAAGGGUCUUGGACCUGACCCUUAGAUGGCAUUUCUGGACCUGCCCUGAAGCAGAGGGGAUCCCACUACCCUGAAGGUGAGUCCCAGACCAAGCAA